UGUUUUUUUAUUUAGCCUCAGGAGCAAAGCAAAACUGAAACAGACAGAACAAGGAUCCCACAAGACUGAACUGAAACACAGGACUGAGAUACUAACUGAACUAACGAGGAGAUGAGGUGCAGACGGGGAGAUGGGCGGAGAAACUCAAGUGAAGGGAAUGAGGAGAUGAAACAGGAGAAUGGAAAGGGCAGGCCUGAUGAGGAUGAUGCAGUGCAGGUUGUGAUCAUCUGAAGUUAACCUGCUCUGGUGGACAGCACAGACCUCUGGUGGACUGGUGGAGGGACGAAGAGCCAGACUGGGUCAGAACCAUGAUAUGCUGAAGAUCUAUUUGGACUUGAUUUUUGAAAUUUACACCAAAAUUAGACAUUUUUGCUCUAAUAUGUUUUAUUGUAAUUAAAUAUAAUCACCUAAACUGAAAAAGAUGUAAGCAUCUGAAGGCUACUUGAGUGUUAAAGAUCAUUUGCAUUUCUCGUUUAAUCCUAAAUGUCACGCCACUAAACAGAACUUUGUUUCAUGUAACUUGAACAGUAUCACUGAACUCAGACUUUCAACUAUAAUGAAUGCCAUCACUAUUCAUUUUGUGUCUUUGCCCACAUCUGAAGGUUUGUUUUUCUGCCUGUUUAAUGUGAUCAAUGCGAGGUGACCCUCGUCUGCAUCAGACUGUACGUGUUCCAAUACAUCAACCAUGUUAUAGAUGUUUUCAUUUUGUUUUGUGCUUUGGAAGCACGUUUUGCACACACGAGGACACACACCCACAUCCAACUGAUCGAUGAUUGUGAUACUGUUGGAGCUUGUAAUAUAGGAGGCACGCUCCUGAUGAACUUUAACUCUUUUACCAAGUAAUUGACAUUUUUGUUCUCAUUAAACUUCUCCCUCUUCUUGUUUAAUGUGAUAUGUAAAUUCUUUAUAACCUCAAAUGACUAUUUUGGAUGUUGUAUCAGUGAAUAAAAACCCCAAAAUGAGAACAAAGCUAAUAAAAAUCUUGCCGCUACAGUGGCUGGUCUUCACUGGUCUGUUUCUGCUCUGCCAUCUGUCCAUU